rnacentral:rRNA from 1 species
GAUGAACGCUGGCGGCGUGCCUAAUACAUGCAAGUCGAGCGAACGGACGAGAAGCUUGCUUCUCUGAUGUUAGCGGCGGACGGGUGAGUAACACGUGGAUAACCUACCUAUAAGACUGGGAUAACUUCGGGAAACCGGAUCUAAUACCGGAUGAUAUUUUGAACCGCAUGGUUCAAAAGUGAAAGACGGUCUUGCUGUCACUUAUAGAUGGAUCCGCGCUGCAUUAGCUAGUUGGUAAGGUAACGGCUUACCAAGGCAACGAUGCAUAGCCGACCUGAGAGGGUGAUCGGCCACACUGGAACUGAGCCACGGUCCAGACUCCUACGGGAGGCAGCAGUAGGGAAUCUUCCGCAAUGGGCGAAAGCCUGACGGAGCAACGCCGCGUGAGUGAUGAAGGUCUUCGGAUCUUAAAACUCUGUUAUUAGGGAAGAACAUAUGUGUAAGUAACUGUGCACAUCUUGACGGUACCUAAUCAGAAAGCCACGGCUAACUACGUG